rnacentral:tRNA from 2 species
GUUCCCGUAGUUCAACGGAUAGAACAUUGGUUUCCUAAACCGAGGAUGUGGGUUCGAUUCCCGCCGGGGACAGCA